CACCCGUUUUCAACUGCUAAACU
rnacentral:siRNA from 1 species